UCAAGCCUGCUGCUGCUGCCCUCACCUGAGGGGAGCGAGAAGAGGCUGCGCCCGCGGAGGAACGCAGAGUCUCGGAGUCGCCAUGGGAGUGGAGCAUCUUCUUCCUGGCAGCAGCCGCCACCGGAUGCCAGUCCACCUGUUUCCCUAUCCCACGCAGCCUGCUUCUGCAACGUGAUUUGAUAGAAGGGACUAUAUCUUCCUUGAAUUUUGUGUUGAAGACAGUAAAGAUGUUAAUGUCAGUUUUGAGAAAUCCAAACUUGCAUUCAGUUGUCUUGGAGGAAAUGAUAAUUUUGUUCAUUUGAAGCAUUUUGAUCUUUUUCACUGUAUUGAGCCAAUGAUAUCAAGCGUAAACGAACGGACUGAUGGAUUUUAGUUGUUUACGAAAAGGAAAAUCUGGCCAGUCAUGGCCAACAUUAACAAAAGAAAGGGUAAAUCUUAACUGGCUUAGUGUGGACUUCAGUCAUUGGAAAGAUUGUGAAGAUUAUUCAGACGAAGCCAUGUCUGAUUUUGAUCGUUUCUCUGAGAACAACAUGGGUGGUGAAGAGGAUGUAGAUUUACCAGAUGGAGCAGAUGAUCAUUCACAGGAUAGUGAAAAUGAAAAAAUGCCAGAUCUGGAGUAAGGAAUAUUGUCAUUACCUGGAUUUUGAGAGAGAAAAAUAACUUCUCUGCAAGAUUUUAUAAUUGAGAGAAUUCCUGAGUUGAUAGCUCUAAAGGCAGAUGGUGUCGUUGCCUACUUAAACUUAUUUUUCAACCUGUUUGGUUUUCAAAAGGCCUCACUAAGGGUUGAUAUGUACCAUUGUAUGGGGCAAUUUUGAGUCAGCUAAGGCAAUAACUUUAUGCAUGAACAUUUUCCAACUUCCAUGAAACUGUUGAGGUCCUAGACAAUUGAUGCAGCAGUUGUGAUAAAUACAAACAUCUCACCUAAGUCUCCUUUCCUUCAUAACGUAGAUACUGACAUGAUAGGAAGCUCUCAGCUUGGGGAAAGAGAACUAAACAUUAGAUUAUAG